GACCUCAGUUCAGGUGAGAUUACCGGCUGAAUUUAAGCAUAUUACUAAGCCGAGGAAAAGAAACUAACAAGGAUUCCCCUAGUAGCAGCGAGCGAACAGGGAAGAGCCCAGCGCUGAAUCCCCCGGGCCUCGCUCGGCGGGAAAUGUAGCGUUUGGGAGGGCCCGUCAACACGGCGACUCGCUCACUGGUUCAAGUCCAACUUGAAUGGGGCCACACAGAGGGUGACAGGCCCGUAGAGCAGGAGCGGUUGUCGUGUGGGUCUCUCCUUAGAGUCGGUUUGCUUGAGAGUGCAGACUUAAGUGGGUGGUAAACUCCAUCUAAGGCUAAAUAUGACCACGAGACCGAUAGCACACAAGUACCGUGAGGGAAAGGUGAAAAGAACUUUGAAGAGAGAGUUCAAGAGUACGUGAAACUGAAGUGGUGUAAACGGACGAGUUCGAAAAGUCCGAAUGGUGAGAUUCAAGCUUACCGUGCCGGUGGCCCUUGGGUUCAGAUGGCGUCGUCAGUUCGGGCUUCGGUUCGGAUCAUACGGCGUCACUCGUCCUGGGGGUAUCUGUCUGGUGCGGUGGGCUGCACUUCUCGCCUAGUAGGACGUCGCGACCCGUUGGGAUGUUCCGUUCACUGGCCCCUGGUGGAGCCCGCGCCGGAGCGUGGCCUUGUGCCGCGUUGCUGUUUGCACGGACCCGGGGUGACCUGAUCGGCGCCCGACGGUAUCAAAGCUUGGGAAGAGGCCGCACAGAGGAUGCGUUCGAUGGCCGUUUCGGCCUACACUCGGACAGGCCUGCAC
rnacentral:rRNA from 1 species